AGUGAACGCUGGCGGUAGGCCUAACACAUGCAAGUCGAACGGCAGCACAGUAAGAGCUUGCUCUUACGGGUGGCGAGUGGCGGACGGGUGAGGAAUACAUCGGAAUCUACUUUUUCGUGGGGGAUAACGUAGGGAAACUUACGCUAAUACCGCAUACGACCUACGGGUGAAAGCAGUGGAUCUUCGGACCUUGCGCGAUUGAAUGAGCCGAUGUCGGAUUAGCUAGUUGGCGGGGUAAAGGCCCAACAAGGCGACGAUCCGUAGCUGGCCUGAGAGGAUGAUCAGCCACACUGGAACUGAGACACGGUCCAGACUCCUACGGGAGGCAGCAGUGGGGAAUAUUGGACAAUGGGCGCAAGCCUGAUCCAGCCAUACCGCGUGGGUGAAGAAGGCCUUCGGGUUGUAAAGCCCUUUUGUUGGGAAAGAAAAGCAGCAGGUUAAUACCCCGCUGUUCUGACGGUACCCAAAGAAUAAGCACCGGCUAACUUCGUG
rnacentral:rRNA from 1 species